UUCCAGUUGACGAGUCCCAAAUAGGGCGAAAUGCGAAUCCUGUAU
rnacentral:hammerhead_ribozyme from 1 species